rnacentral:lncRNA from 1 species
UUUCUUGCGCUCUUUCUCUAUUUCUCUUUCUGUUUUCUUCCUUUUUUUUUUUCUUUUUUUCUUUUUUAAGAAAACAAAACAAAAAAAAAGACAAUGAAAAAAAAAAAAACGGAAAACGUCAUGUGAGUGAAGAGAUGUCACUGUCUGUGGUCUUUGGAGAACUAGUCUCGUAGCUGAGGGGAGGGGAUUCCCUCCUCUGGGGCGCUGGCACCCACAGCAGGACUCGCCAGUCUGAUGCCAGGACUGAAUAAAGUGUAUUUGCCCCGACCUUGCCCUGUGGUUCUGCAUGUGUACUUCUCACCCUGGCCAGCUUCAAAGUGCCUAGAGUAUGGGCUGGUGCAGGGAGAACGGGUUCUCUUUACCCCUGGCCAGCUUCAAAGUGCCUAGAGUAUGGGCUGGUGCAGGGAGAGCGGGUUCUCUUUAGGCCUCUGUUAUCCUCUAUCUCAGGAAUCCCUGCCUUCAUUAAGAAUGGCAAACUCAUCUUCACAGUGGCUAAGCAUCGUAACUGGGAGGACUGGGGUGGGUGCUGAUGUCACAGUGCAAGGGUGCAAGCCUCUGUAGACAGCCAUAUAUUCCAAGAGAUGCAGGAAACCAGUCAUUGUGCUUGUUAAGUCUCAUUAGGUCAGACGAGACAAGCAUGCAUGCAGGCAGGACUGAUCAUCCGGGGUCAAUUCCACUGUUUAAUAAAGGAUUGGGAAGCAAAAUUGGUAGCUUUGCUCAGAGCCUAUGUUCUGAGCAGCUCUACAGUGUGUGUCUUCUAAGGAUCAACAUGGUAUUUUCAGUGGGAAACCAUGCUUGAGGUAAGCAGUAUUUAAGGUGGUGUGCUCCAUAAAUUGUGUUCCUUCAUUUCCAGAGUAGGAAGCUGGGGAGAGGGGUCCCCAUCAAGCAACCAUGGCUAGAAGUAUUCUGAGGUAUCCCUCAAAUGUGUUGUCCCAUGCUGAGAGGUGGCCUAGGACCUGACUUACAAGGGCCUGCAGUGUAAGCCUACCACAGGACCAGAGGGCAACAGACCGAGAGUUUUCUCCUGAGGUUCUACUCAGUUCUUCCUCGGCGCAUUCGUUGUACCUUUCUCCCCCAUGCGUUGCCUUGUCCAGUGAAUGUCACUGCUCAAGAAACGCCCAUUUUCCUAAUAAGCCAGGACUGGGUGUGGAUCUUUUCAGGGCAUCUUCUCUGCUUCUGGUUGGAAGCAAACUGGGAGGAAAUCAUGAGUAGAUAACAUUGAGAAAGGGAGGACAGGGCCUGUGCCAAACAGAAGUCAGUUCAAGGAAGGGUUUCUUUCCCUAGACCAUAGGAAACAGGGUCAAUGAAUAACCUCCAGCAAGGUCAGCCCCUGAAGUCGGUCUGCCCAAGGCCACACCCUUCCCCCUGGUAGGCCUGCCCCAGUGUCUAAGCUAGGUUGUUUUAGUGCUUUGUGGGGCAAACUGUCAAGCAUUUCUUCCACCAGACUCCCCUGUGGUCCCUGUGCAGGGACCGGCCAGGGCUUUGUCAGACUGCCUUCAUGCCCAACACUGCCUUUUUUCCACAGGUGUUUAUCCUAAUAAACGUCUUAACACCC